rnacentral:tRNA from 1 species
GCCGGCGUAGCUCAGGGGUAGAGCAACUGAUUCGUAAUCAGUAGGCCGGGGGUUCGACUCCCCCCGCCGGCU